rnacentral:rRNA from 1 species
AGGGAAGCGCUUUUACAGAUUUCUUCGGAAUGAGGUUUUAGUGAAUGAGUGGCGGACGGGUGAGUAACGCGUGGGUAACCUGCCUCACACAGGGGGAUAACAGUUGGAAACGGCUGCUAAUACCGCAUAAGCGCACAGUACCGCAUGGUACAGUGUGAAAAACUCCGGUGGUGUGAGAUGGACCCGCGUCUGAUUAGCUAGUUGGCAGGGCAACGGCCUACCAAGGCGACGAUCAGUAGCCGACCUGAGAGGGUGACCGGCCACAUUGGGACUGAGACACGGCCCAAACUCCUACGGGAGGCAGCAGUGGGGAAUAUUGCACAAUGGGGGAAACCCUGAUGCAGCGACGCCGCGUGAGCGAAGAAGUAUUUCGGUAUGUAAAGCUCUAUCAGCANGGAAGAAGAAAAGACGUACCUGACUAGAG